GGAGUGAUGGCCGAGUUGGUCGAAGGCGCUCGCCUGCUAAGCGAGUAUACACUUUAAAGGUGUAUCGAGGGUUCGAAUCCCUCUCACUCCGCCA
rnacentral:tRNA from 1 species